AUCCAUAGCAUGAAAGUACACAUGGAUAAUGCAUUCCCCUAUCUCCACCUUAACAUUCUUGAUCAUGUCUGCUGAGUUUACUCGGGAGCUAUCCACGAAAGUGAAACUAUCUUUAGAAGGUUCCAUCUUCAGUCCUAAUAGCUCAGCAGUGUCUAUGGCCAUGAUGCUGACUGCAGAUCCAGUAUCGCAUACGGCGUUUGGUAAAUGGUGGCUAUGUAUAGAGCAUGGAAUCAGGAACUUUCUAGGAUCUUGUUCCUUCUUCAGUGUCCUCUUGGGUUUACGGCUGACCUUGUUGAAUAGGAGCUCAAUGUCCUUAUCAGUCUCUCUGCUCUCUCUGAAGAAAUUACCAAGUCUAU
rnacentral:lncRNA from 1 species